rnacentral:misc_RNA from 1 species
GAUGAAGAAUGUAGCGAAAUGCGAUAAGUAAUGUGAAUUGCAGAAUUCAGCGAAUCAUCGAAUCUUUGAACGCACAUUGCGCCCGCCAGUAUUCUGGCGGGCAUGCCUGUCUGAGCGUCAUUUCAACCCUCAUGCCCCUAGGGCGUGGUGUUGGGGAUCGGCCAAAGCCCGCGAGGGACGGCCGGCCCCUAAAUCUAGUGGCGGACCCGUCGUGGCCUCCUCUGCGAAGUAGUGAUAUUCCGCAUCGGAGAGCGACGAGCCCCUGCCGUUAAACCCCCAACUUUCCAAGGUUGACCUCAGAUCAGGUAGGAAUACCCGCUGAACUUAAGCAUAUCAAUAAGCGGAGGA